GAUGAACGCUGGCGGCGUGCCUAAUACAUGCAAGUCGAGCGAACAGACGAGGAGCUUGCUCCUCUGACGUUAGCGGCGGACGGGUGAGUAACACGUGGAUACCCUACCUAUAAGACUGGGAUAACUUCGGGAAACCGGAGCUAAUACCGGAUAAUAUAUUGCACCGCAUGGUUCAAUAGUGAAAGACGGUUUUGCUGUCACUUAUAGAUGGAUCCGCGCCGCAUUAGCUAGUUGGUAAGGUAACGGCUUACCAAGGCAACGAUGCGUAGCCGACCUGAGAGGCUGGUCGGCCGCACUGGAACGUGGACGCCGACCAGGGUCCUACGGGAGGCCGCAGUAUCGUACGGUCCGCAAUGGGCGAGAGCCUGACGGAGCAACGCGGCGUGAGUGAUGAAGGUCUUCGGAGCGUAAUACUCUGUUAUUAGGUAAGAACCAAUUUGUCAGUAACUAUGCACGUCCUGACGGUACUUAAUCAGAAAGCCACGGCUAACUACGUG
rnacentral:rRNA from 1 species